rnacentral:hammerhead_ribozyme from 1 species
AUCCAGCUCACAAAUCCCUAAUAGGACGGAACGCGCGUCCUGGAU